GUCAAAAUCCAGAGCUGUGCAGAUUACUACCAACUUCAGCUGUGAUCUCUACAGAAAUAGAGACGAAACCACCUGUCAGAUCCACUUUUCUGAAUCUGUGGGACUGAUCACCUGUCUGAGCUCGGGGACGUGGGAGGGGCUCCCGGCAGGAUGGUGGGAGACAGUAGGACUCUGGCUACCAUAACAUAACGUCUCCCACUCCCAAGGAAGAAGCCGCUGCUGAACUGCAGAGCUCCUUCAGCGACAGAUUGCUGCAUCGGAGCCCAAAGGAGCAUUAUCGCAGCUCCAGCAGCUGUUGGACUUUGUAACAUCACUACUCCUUUCUGAAAAUCCUCUGCAGACGCUGGAACGAAGGAGGAUGACUCAGCGUUCUUCUGCACAGGAAAAACAACUGCUUGGACUUGCUUGUGCGACAUUCCGAUUAAUGGCAGCAGAAAUCAUCGAACAUGAUGGAGAUAAAGGCCGAGUCGAGUUGAGACGUCGCAUGUGGUGAGCUGAGCUGUUGGGCCGGAAGAGGCUCUUACUCUGUCGCCCACUGAUUGGCUGGAGAGCAGUGUGGCUGAGAGAAAACUUGACAUCAUG